rnacentral:rRNA from 1 species
AUACGUAGGUGGCAAGCGUUAUCCGGAUUCACUGGGCGUAAAGCGCGUGCAGGCGGUUUCGUAAGUCGGACGUGAAAGCUCCUGGCUUAACUGGGAGAGGUCGUUCGAUACUGCGGGGCUUGAGGUCGGGAGAGGGACGUGGAAUUCCCGGUGUAGUGGUGGAAUGCGUAGAUAUCGGGAGGAACACCAGUGGCGAAGGCGACGUCCUGGCCCGCACCUGACGCUGAGACGCGAAAGCGUGGGUAGCAAACGGGAUUAGAUACCCCGGUAGUCCACGCUGUAAACGGUGGGUACUAGGUGUUGGUGGCUAUCGUCAUCAGUGCCGUAGCUAACGCGUUAAGUACCCCGCCUGGGGACUACGGCCGCAAGGCUAAA